rnacentral:rRNA from 1 species
UACGUAGGUGGCGAGCGUUGUCCGGAUUUACUGGGCGUAAAGGGCGCGUAGGCGGCUUGGCAAGUCAAAGGUGAAAUCCCUCGGCCUAACCGAGGAACUGCCUUUGAAACUGCUUGCUUGAGGCCGGGAGAGGGUAGCGGAAUUCCCAGUGUAGCGGUGAAAUGCGUAGAUAUUGGGAGGAACACCAGUGGCGAAGGCGGCUACCUGGACCGGUUCUGACGCUGAGGCGCGAAAGCGUGGGGAGCAAACAGA